rnacentral:lncRNA from 1 species
CUUUUUUUUUUUCCAGUUCUUUUAUUGGUACAUUUUAGGUAUACAGUUUGUUUACAUUUAUCAUUAGGUGUUUGUACCUGUACAUGAUAUAUCUUGGUUCUUAUUUUUUUCCCCAUUACCUGUGCGCCCUUCACCCGCUCCGCCCUUCCCUAUUUACAUAGAUUUCAUUUCCAUGUUUUCUUUUCUCAUAGUUUUUCCUUUCCCUCUUUUCCUUUCCCCUUCCCCUCCCUUCACUCCUUCAUCUUUGGACCUUUUUUCCUAUUUCAAAUUAUCAGUUAUUCAUUUUAAUCAUUUUAACCCUUGUUUACACUUUCAGUUUCUCACACUAGAGAAACUAUUUGGUAUUUACUCAUGUGUGUCCUAUUUGUUUCACUUAAGAGUAUGGCCUCGAUAUCCAUCCAUUUAGCUAUAAAUGCCUCUAGUUUUUCAUUCCUUAUGAUUGAGUAGUACUCCAUUUUAUUAAAAAACCACAUUUUCUUUAUCCAGUUUCCAGCUGAUGGGCACUUGGGCUGUUUCCAAGCUUUAGCUAUUACAAACUGUGCCGCUGUGAACAUGGGUGCACAUAUAUCACUGUGGUAUGAUUCUUUUAAUUCUUUUGGGAAGAUACCCAGCAGGGGAGUAGCUGGGUCAAAUGGGACCUGUAGUCCUAGUUCUUUGAGGUAUCUCCAUACUGACUUCCACAGUGGUUGCACCAGUCUGCAUUCCCACUAACAAUGGAGAAGGGUUCCUUUCUCCCCACAACCCCGUCAGCAUUUGUUAUUUGUUGAUUUCUUGAUAGCAGCCAUUCUUUCUGGGGUGAGGUGGAAUCUCAGUGUUGUUUUCAUGUGCCUCUCUUGAAUGAUGAGUGAUGUUGAACAUUUUUUCAUAUGUUUGUUUGCUGCUUUUACUUCUUUGCCUGAGAAAUGUCUGUUCAUUUCAGAUGCCCAUUUUUGAAUUGGGUCUUUGAAUUUGGGGGGUCUGAUUUUUUUCCAUUCUUUAUAUAUUCUAGAUAGUAGUCCUUUGUCUGAGGUACAGCUGCUAAAAUUUUUUCCCACAUUGUAGGUUGUCUGUUAGCUCUGUUGGUGGUUUCUUUUGCAGUGCGGAAGCUUUUUAAUAAGAUGAGAUCCCAGUUGUUGAUUCUUUCUGCUAGUUCUCGUGCUGCUGAGGUUUUCUUCAUGAAGUCUUUUCCUAUGCCAAUGUCUUCAAGAGUUCUACCUAACUUAUCUUCCAGCAAGUUUAGUGUUUCUGUCUUAAUAUUUACAUCUUUAAUCCACUUUGAUCUUCGUUUAGUGCAUAGUGAUAGGUAUGGGUCUAGUUUUAAUCUUUGGCAGGUUGAAAUCCAGUUUUUCCAACACCAUUUAUUAAAUAGGCUAUCUUUCCUCCAGUGAUGGUGAUUGGCUCCUUUGUCAAAGAUGAGGUGGCUGAGCAUGUCUGGAGUUGUUUCUGCAUCUUCUAAUCUAUUCCACUGAUCCUGAGUUCUGUUCCUUUGCCAGUACCAUGCUGAUUUUAUCACAGUAGCUUUGUAGUAUAAUUUCAAGUUGGGGAUUGUGAUACCCCCAACCAUGUCUCUGUUGCUUAGAAUUGCUUUAGCUAUUCUAGAUCUCUUAUGGUUCCAAAUGAAUUUUUGGAUUGUUUUCUCUAGUUCUGUGAAGUAUAUUGUUGGAAUUUCAGUUGGCAUUGCAUUGAAUCUAUAUAGUAGUUUUGGAAGUAUGGCCAUUUUCUCUAUAUUGGUUCUUCCUACCCAGGAGCAAGGGAUGUCUUUCCAUUUUCUUGUAUCCUCUUCAGUCUCUUUUUUCAGAGUGCUGUAGUUUUCAGUGUAGAGGUCUUUUGCUUCCUUUGUUACAUUGAUUCCUAGAUAUUUCAUUUUUCUUGGAUGCUACUGUAAAAGGAAUUGUUUCCCUAAUUUCUCUCUUAGUGAGUCUGUUAUUUGUGUACAAAAAGGCUAUUGUUUUUUGAGUGUUGACCUUGUAUCCAGCUAUUCUACUGAAUCUGUCAAUUAAGUCUAGAAGUCUUCUGGUGGAAUCUUUUGGGUCUUCUAUGUAAAGUGUCAUAUCGUCAGCAAAUAAUGACAGUUUAACUUCUUUUCCUAUCUUUAUUCCUUUUAUUUCUUUCUCUUUUCUAAUUGCUAUGGCUAAUGUUUCCAGAACUGUAUGGAACAGGAGUGGUGAGAGUGGACAUCUUUGUCUUGUUCCUGAUUUUAUCAUGAAAGUUUUCAGUUUUUAACCAUUUAGUAUGAUGUUGGCUGUUGGUUUUUCAUAGAUAGGCUUAAUCAGGUUAAGAUAAAGACCUUCUGUUCCAAUUUUCUGUAGGGUUUUUAUCAUGAAUGGGUGCUGGAUUUUGUCAAAUGCUUUUUCUGCCUCUAUUGAGAUGAUCAUAUGGUUUAUUUCUCUUAAUGUGGUGUAUUACAUUUUUUGAUUUACGAAUGUUGAACCAUCCUUGCAUCCCUGGGAUAAAUCUGACUUGGUUAGGGUGUAUGAUCUUCUUGAUGACUCUCUGUAUUCUGUUUGCCAGUAUUUUGUUGAGGAUUUUUGCAUCUAUGUUCAUUAGGGAGAUUGGCCUAUAGUUCUCUUUUUGGGUUGGGUCUUUCCCUGGUUUUGGAAUCAAAGUAACACUUGCUUCCAGGAAUGAAUUUGGAAGCCUUGCUUCCCUUUCAGUUUCCUUGAUGAGUUUAAAGAGUAAUGGUGUUAGAUCUUCUUUAAAUGUCUUGUAAAUUUCAGCAGUGAAGCUAUCCGGACCUGGGCUUUCCUUUGUUGGUAAAUAUUUUAUUACAUUUUCAAUUUCACUCAUUGUAAUUGGGGUGUUUAGAAUUUCUAUAUCUUCUUCAUUUAACUUUGGCAAUUUGUAUGUAUCUAGGAAUCUGCCCAUUUAUUUUGUGAUUUCCAUUUUAUUGGAGUAGAGGUUCUUAAAGUAUGUAUUGAUGAUCCUCUGGAUUUCUGUUGGAUCUGUUGUGACUUCACCUUUUUCAUUCUUUUUUUUUUUUUCCAGGGCAGAGGCAUUUAUUGCUAAGGUAUCUGGAAAGUUGGAGUUCUGUGUAAAACCUUUUGAUUGUCAAAUGUUGGCAAACUACCGUCACGUUAAAUAUAUUGGCCUGCGAGAUCGGGGCUGUGGGCCACCAGUGUGCACUCUAUUCCAAAAGCUCUUUCAGGAAUGACGUAGGAGAUGGGACUCAGUAAGCUGAUGUCCCCUGGCUUCAGGGGUCCUGAAGAAAUGGAAUGAGUGGGGAGGUCCAGGCCUAGAUCCCUCCAGAGCACUGUAAUGGUAUAGGACAGCCUGGCUCCUGAAUGCCUUUUCAUGCCCACUGUGCCCUCCUAGUGUACGCUGCUGGCAAAGCAGCCACCUCAGGUGUGCCAAGCAUCUACGCCCCCAGCACCUAAGCCUACCUCUCCCCUGCCAAGACCCCACCCCCACUGCCAAUCAUGAUUCCCAUGGGCCCCAUCUACAAUGGCUACCCUGGAGGGUACCCUGGAGACUUCGAUAGGAACAGCUCAGUGGGCGGCCACAGCUCUCAGGUACCCCUGCUUUGAGACACGGACAGCAAUUCAACCUCUGAAGUCCGUAGUGGCUACGGAUCCAGGCCAAUCAGCAGGAUGAUUCCAUGAGAGUCCCAGCCAGGUUCCGCAGAAUCUGCAAGGUCUCCUGCAAGUAGCGGGAGGAGAGGAAGGGCCUAUGCACCCCCUCGAAGCCGCAGCCGUGAUGACCUCUUCAACCCAGACGUCUCGAGGGACUUCCCACACUCUGGAGAUCCCCAUUGUGAUGACUUCAAAUCUAGUAGGGACCGCCCUCCUGCUGACCCCAGAUCCCGCUACCGGUCCCGGGACCCUCGAGAUGAUGGCUCCAGGCCCAGGGAUCCCCAAUAUGAUGGGCGGCUGCUAGAAGAGGCCUUUUCUUUCUCUUGCAGAACUUGGCCCUCAGUCGGGAAAGUUUAGUCGUCUGAUCUCACAUUUUGUAUGUAGCUUUUGUACUUUUUAUUUUUUGGUACUGGGGACUAAACCCACAGGUUUCGCACUGAGCUACGUCUCCGGCCCUUUUUCACUUUUUAAAAUUUUGAGACAGGGUCUCGCAGAGUUGCUGAAGCUGAGCUCGAAUUUACAGUCCUGCCUCGGCCUCCCUGUGUUGGAAUUGCAGGCAUGCGUGCCACUAACUUGCGCCACUUCAUGGAGCUGAUACUUUUUUUAAUUUGAG